rnacentral:lncRNA from 1 species
UUUAAUUUGAAUAAAUAAGUGAUGUUCAUGAACAAAUUGACAUGAUAAUAACAAGUUUUCUCGAAGGACGGAAAAAUGGAGAGCUACAUGGACAGAUAAUUAAACAAGUUGCUUGUUGACUCAUGCCCCACCUUGCUGUAGGUUCAUAUAUAGAUACGCUUGCGCUAGGAACCGUUUUGUCCCCACAGAUUCAAACCUUUCGCAACGUACACUCUUCAACUGAAACUGUGAAAUCAACCACUCCAAACUCUAUUCACUAUAGUUCGAAUCAGACCUAAAUGUUGGCAGCAGUGAUCCAUUCCCACCCCAUCCAGAGGCAAACCAAACUAAAAUCCAAACCACCAGACCCAAACUAUUGGCA